ensembl:lncRNA
GUAAGUUGGACAUAUUGUUUUUAACUCAUAAAUUCACUUUUCUCAGUCGUAUAUGGUCGUACUGUAUUUACAAUGUAGUAAUGUUAACACUAAAGGCGGCUGCAUGCUUCAGCGUUGGUGUUACGUUGUUGCGCAAAAUUUACUCAAAGCAAUUCAUGCUCCCUUUUGCGCGUGUUGCCAAGCAAUUUACCGCCAGAACAGUAGGUGGAGUAAUAUGUGGAGUAAAGUUUUUCGUUGAAGACGACCUCGAGAAUGACGUCUUUGUCUGUGGGAGUCGUUGGUUUGUUUAUGUGCCAAAGUUUGAUGAUCUCCUUUCGCGAGUCAUCCGAUAUCUUCCCGACUCUCACCAAAACCGGCCCUUGUCAGGGAGCAGCUGGCAGAUUAUUUUUUGUCAGAUGCUGGCGUGUUUCCCCACCAGUACAAUGUGCUACGAUUGGUGAAAAGAAAUCAUGAAUACCAUCAGCCUCUUUCCCGGAAAGAUGACGGUGACAUUUAGGAAGGGACCAUCGGGUCAUCUGCGGCAGGACCCAUCCUCUGAGGCCACGAGGAUAAAACACAAUCCUGGGCUUCAGGUCAAGAUUCCCAGAAACAUGACCUAGUGAAGACCAGUGCUCGCACUGUGGUCUUCCAGCGAGGAGGGGAUGUGUCGGACCGACAGGAGGUGAUGGGAGAGUACCUGCUGCAGUUCGGAAAGUACCAGAGAAAAUCUUUCAAGUGGCUCCUAGAGAACGAUGUUGGCUACACCAUGUACCUUAUGAAAAAGGUAGAUGAGGAGGAGAGAGCCGGGACCUUCAACCCAAAGGGACACAGUAAGGACACCUGCUGUCUUUUCUGGACUAUGCCAGGAGCUUCCAGGAAAUCCAGGACCUGAGGAACUACCUGAUCUCCAGGAAGCCUACUGAACCAGUGGCGUCAGAGCGGGACAAUAUUGUCGGCUUGGGUUGCAGGGCCAAAAAUGGAGUUCCAGCAGUCUGACUUUUUUGAGGCAGAAAGAGGCCGAUGGGUUUCAGAAAAGAGGAGUUGAGGAG